rnacentral:piRNA from 1 species
UAAAGAUAUAAAUCAAAUACACAUAAGC